rnacentral:rRNA from 1 species
CACGCAGGCGGUCUGUUAAGUCAGAUGUGAAAUCCCCGGGCUUAACCUGGGGACUGCGCUUGAUACUGCUGGGCUUGAGGCCGAGAGAGGGUGGUGGAAUUCCCAGUGUAGAGGUGAAAUUCGUAGAUAUUGGGAAGAACACCGGUGGCGAAGGCGACCACCUGGCUCGGUACUGACGCUGAGGCGCGACAGCGUGGGGAGCAAACAGGAUUAGAUACCCGCGUA